rnacentral:rRNA from 1 species
CAUACUCCUACGGGAGGCAGCAGUAGGGAAUCUUCCACAAUGGGCGCAAGCCUGAUGGAGCAACGCCGCGUGUGUGAUGAAGGGUUUCGGCUCGUAAAGCACUGUUGUAAGAGAAGAAUGUACUUGAGAGUAACUGUUCAAGUAGUGACGGUAUCUUACCAGAAAGGGACGGCUAAAUACGUGCCAGCAGCCGCGGUAAUACGUAUGUCCCAAGCGUUAUCCGGAUUUAUUGGGCGUAAAGCGAGCGCAGACGGUUAUUUAAGUCUGAAGUGAAAGCCCUCAGCUCAACUGAGGAAUUGCUUUGGAAACUGGAUGACUUGAGUGCAGUAGAGGAAAGUGGAACUCCAUGUGUAGCGGUGAAAUGCGUAGAUAUAUGGAAGAACACCAGUGGCGAAGGCGGCUUUCUGGACUGUAACUGACGUUGAGGCUCGAAAGUGUGGGUAGCAAACAGGAUUAGAUACCCUGGUAGUCCACACCGUAAACGAUGAGUGCUAGCUGUUCGAGGGUUUCCGCCCUUGAGUGGCGUAGCUAACGCAUUAAGCACUCCGCCUGGGGAGUACGACCGCAAGGUUGAAACUCAAAGGAAUUGACGGGGACCCGCACAAGCGGUGGAGCAUGUGGUUUAAUUCGAAGCAACGCGAAGAACCUUACCAGGUCUUGACAUCCUUUGACCACUCCAGAGAUGGAGCUUUCCCUUCGGGGACAAAGUGACAGGUGGUGCAUGGUUGUCGUCAGCUCGUGUCGUGAGAUGUUGGGUUAAGUCCCGCAACGAGCGCAACCCUUAUUGUUAGUUGCCAGCAUUCAGUUGGGCACUCUAGCGAGACUGCCGGUGACAAACCGGAGGAAGGCGGGGAUGACGUCAAAUCAUCAUGCCCCUUAUGACCUGGGCUACACACGUGCUACAAUGGCAUAUACAACGAGUCGCCAACCCGCGAGGGUGCGCUAUUCUCUUAAAGUAUGUCUCAGUUCGGACUGUAGGCUGCAACUCGCCUACACGAAGUCGGAAUCGCUAGUAAUCGCGGAUCAGCACGCCGCGGUGAAUACGUUCCCGGGUCUUGUACACACCGCCCGUCACACCA